rnacentral:rRNA from 1 species
GCAUCAUGAUUUAGCAAGUGUAACCCAAGCGAAGCGUGCUUUAGUUUGGUAUCCCGAAACUGGGUGAGCUACUCCAAGACAGCCUAUUAAUAGGGCACACCCGUCUCUGUGGCAAAAGAGUGGGGGGAGCUUUGAGUAGAGGUGACAGACCUACCGAACCUAGUUAUAGCUGGUUGUUCAAGAAAUGAAUAGUAGUUCAGCCUCCUGGCUUCUCUUUUCACUUUAGUUUAACCCCUAUUGAUGUGCUUAAGAAACCGAGAGAGUUAAUCAAAGGGGGUACAGCCCCUUUGAACCAAGACACAACUUUAUCAGGAGGGUAAAGAUCAUAAUAAACCAAAGGUAAAUAUUUGGGUGGGCCUAAAAGCAGCCAUCCCCUUAGAAAGCGUUAAAGCUCGAAUAUACCGUCAACCCUUCUUAUUCUGAUCACACAAUCUUAUCCCCCUAAACAUACUGAACCAUCCCAUACCUAUAUGGGAGUGAUUAUGCUAAUAUGAGUAAUAAGAGAGCCUUCGGCUCUCUCCCUGCACACGUGUACGUCGGAACGGACACCCCGCCGACCAUUAACGGCCCCAAUCAAAGAGGGCACUGAAUAACAGAUUAAACAACAAGAAAAGCAUUCAGGAAUUAACCGUUAACCCCACACAGGUGUGCCCGUAGGGAAAGACUAAAAGAGAGAGAAGGAACUCGGCAAACACAUCAAAGCCUCGCCUGUUUACCAAAAACAUCGCCUCUUGCAAACUUAAUAAAUAAGAGGUCCCGCCUGCCCUGUGACUAUUAGUUUAACGGCCGCGGUAUUUUGACCGUGCGAAGGUAGCGCAAUCACUUGUCUUUUAAAUGAAGACCUGUAUGAUGCAUAACGAGGGCUUAACUG